rnacentral:rRNA from 1 species
GAUGAACGCUAGCGGCAGGCUUAAUACAUGCAAGUCGAGGGGCAGCAUGACUGUAGCAAUACAGUUGAUGGCGACCGGCAAACGGGUGCGGAACACGUACAGAACCUUCCUUCGAGCGGGGAAUAGCCCAGAGAAAUUUGGAUUAAUACCCCCAUAGUAUAUUAGGAGUGGCAUCACUUUGAUAUUAAAGAUUUAUCACUUGAAGAUGGCUGUGCGGCUGAUUAGGUAGUUGGCGGGGUAACGGCCCACCAAGCCUUCGAUCAGUAACUGGUGUGAGAGCACGACCAGUCACACGGGGCACUGAGACACGGGCCCCGACUCCUACGGGAGGCAGCAGUAAGGAAUAUUGGGUCAAUGGACGAAAGUCUGAACCAGCCAUGCCGCGUGGAGGAUGAAGGUUCUCUGGAUUGUAAACGUUCUUUUAUAUGGGACGAAAAAAGGGUUUCUAACUCGUCUGACGGUACCAUAUGAAUAAGCACCGGCUAACUCCGUGCCAGC